rnacentral:misc_RNA from 1 species
GAUGAAGAACGCAGCGAAAUGCGAUAAGUAGUGUGAAUUGCAGAAUUCAGUGAAUCAUCGAAUCUUUGAACGCACAUUGCGCCCCUUGGUAUCCCGAGGGGCAUGCCUGUUCGAGCGUCAUUUCACCACUCAAGCCUGGCUUGGUGUUGGGCGACGUCCCCUUUAGGGACGCGCCUUGAAACGCUCGGCGGCGUGGCACCGGCUUUAAGCGUAGCAGAAUCUUUCGCUUUGGAAGUCGGGGCCCCGCCUGCCGGAAUACCUACUCGUAAGGUUGACCUCGGAUCAGGCAGGGAUACCCGCUGAACUUAAGCAUAUCAAUAAGCGGAGGA